rnacentral:rRNA from 1 species
UACGGAGGGUGCAAGCGUUGUCCGGAUUUAUUGGGUUUAAAGGGUGCGUAGGCGGCUUUUUAAGUCAGUGGUGAAAGCCUCCAGCUCAACUGGAGAACUGCCAUUGAUACUGAAGAGCUUGAGUAUACUUGAGGUAGGCGGAAUUGACAGUGUAGCGGUGAAAUGCAUAGAUAUUGUCAAGAACACCGAUUGCGAAGGCAGCUUACUAAAUUAUAACUGACGCUGAGGCACGAAAGCUAGGGGAGCAAACAGG